AGCAGCCACAGGAAACCAACUCAAGCAGCGACUAGAUCAGAUUGGUGGAACAUCAAGUGGUUUCUACCACGUUCCCCUUGACCUUCCCUUCUACAGCCUGGCCUGAUUCGGGGGUCACGAGGCAGGAGAACCAUGGGCAAGAGGGAGCUCGGAGUGCAUAUCCAAACUGGUCUGUAUUUCUGGAAGUCCAGGAAACCCAGGAACCAGGACUGAGAUGUGGGAGUUUGGGUCCUGAAAUCAGCAAGAUGUCAAACAUUUGCAUGGAUGAUCAGACUCAGGGAGAAAGCCUCUUAGUGUCAGUGUUGUCUGUAAUUAAUCUUCAAGCAUCUCAUUGAAAAGACUGCAGAGAAGGGAGGAGCUGAAAUGUUUCUAUGGAAGAAGGAACGGAGCUUCCCAAACUACUCCAGCACGAAAAUCUUCCAGAAGGAUUCUCCCCAGGGCAAUGAGGCAAGAAAUUUAUGGCUUGGCCUGAUUAAUGGGCCAGGCAGUUAAGAGUUCUUUGCCAAACCGUGAGCAUAAUUUAAAGGAUCUGAGGCCCCGUAACUCACAUCCUUAAAGGGCUCUUAGAACAAGAGACACAUUGCAUCACUGAGAACAUCUCCGCUCCUCGUGCCAGAAAAGACCGGCCUGUUUCUGGGUAUUUCUGUCAAAGAACAAAGAGUCUGCAUGAAUAUCGACGGCAGCAAAAAUAAGGAAAAUAUUUGCAGGUCAUAAAUUUCUGGCUGAUGUUACCUUUGUUUUCCGAUGGGCUUGGUAUUUAUUUAACCACGUUCUCUCUCUUCGUGCCUCUCUCCCC
rnacentral:lncRNA from 1 species